UACGUAGGGGGCAAGCGUUGUCCGGAAUUAUUGGGCGUAAAGAGCGCGUAGGCGGUCCGGUAAGUCGGUUGUGAAAGUCGGGGGCUCAACCCUCGGAUGCCGAUCGAUACUGUCGGGCUAGAGUCCGGAAGAGGCGAGUGGAAUUCCUGGUGUAUCGGUGAAAUGCGCAGAUAUCAGGAGGAACACCAAUGGCGAAGGCAGCUCGCUGGGACGGUACUGACGCUGAGGCGCGAAAGCGUGGGGAGCAAACAGG
rnacentral:rRNA from 1 species